rnacentral:lncRNA from 1 species
UGCCCAGACCAGAGGUAUCCAAAACUUCUUUAGUGAACAGCAGAGAAAACAUUUUUCAUUGGACAAGGCCAGAAGGACGAUUUCUUUAUAGCAAGGACUGUUGAAGAGGUUCCUGGAUGGACCAUUAAUCAAUUAAAGUCCUAAAAACCUUGGAAAUUCCAGAUCACCCAUGUUUGAUUCAGCUGCCCAAUUAAAAAAUGGUUAUGAGAGCUGACCCACCUCUCAGCACCUGACUCACCUGAGAAAGUUGAGGUCUGUAAACAUAUUUUUAAUUUACUAAGCCAAACAUGAAAGCAGCAGACAGAAAUUCCACAUAUUUGUGCAAAAAAUGUAGCCUUCCUG